UUUACUUCUAUCACUGCCUUUAGAAAAGCAAAAAUCUCUCACAUUGUGGUCAGCAAAUUUCAGCCCACUCAUGGGGUCAAUGGCUAUCAAGCUUACAGUUUCUGAAAGUUGAAGAAAAAUAGUUUUUCACAUAGGAAAGUUAAUUGAAAUUGAAACUUUAGCAACUAUAAAUAUGGUUUCAUUAGAACACAACUAUGUGCAUUUCUCUACAUAUUGCCUGUGACCAUGUUUCACUGUCAAACAGAAUUGAAGUUACAUGAGACACUAGAUCACAAAGCCUAAAAUAUUUACACUCUAGCCUUUAACAGAGACAAAUCUGUAGACUUUGUUCUGGGGUGAAGAAGGCCUGGGGUUCUGUAUCUAUGUCAUUUGCUGCUUCUUUUAAGCUUCAUCUAUAAAAUAAGAUGACAUGAUGAGGAUGGACCCAGGACCUCAUAGGAUCAAAUAAGAUCAUAUAAAGGAAACCUGUAAGUCCCAGCAAGCUAUGGAAUUAUUCUGACUUCAAAAGCCAAAACCAUGUCCCCUGCUUCUCUGUGUGGGCCAGUGUGGGCUGGACUCUCUGGGCUAGAUUGCUCUGCUCUGCUACCUCACGACUUCACUCCUCUGUCACCUUGUCCCAUGACAGCAGCAAACUUUUCAAUAGGUGGCCUCUGCAGCUUUGGGUCAGGCAUCUCUCCAGUCAUCACUGCAUUAAGCAGUUAAAGGAAUCUUCCCUAAAGGUGCAGUUGAUCAUGCCUGACCUCUCUAUUUUAUCUGUUUGUUCUUGAUGUCCAACAGAAAUGGCCCAGGCCUUUAGACUCGGCAUAUCUUGUAGGCACAUGUUGUCUGGGUUCCAGCUCCCUGAUGUUUCCUUGUAAGGCUUGAGAACCUCACAUCGUCCCUCACCUGCAGCAGUGACACUCGUUGCUCUCGAUGCAAGGAAGAUUCCUACCCCAUCCCCAACACACCACCCUUAGUUGUGGACCAAAAUGAUGCCUCUGCUUUCAGAACUGACCCCGCUUUCUUCAGAAGCCUUUCCUCCCUCGACUCUGCCUCCACCCUCAGGCCAGUCUAGUUCAGGACACCUGAGGGCUCUGGUCUUUUUCUCGCUCACAGUCAUAGUGUAGUGCUUAGCAGAGAGUAGGUAAUUGCUUGAUUAUUAAUUAACAAAUGGAGGCAUAUUUAACAUUGAGUUACAGUAAAUUAAGAGAGUAACUCUUACUUCUGCAUCCUGUAUUUUUGCCUCUGUUCAUUAAGAAUGCAUCAAAUGUAUACCAAAAGCAAACUUCAACUUCCAACUGCUUUUAACAUAGAAGAAAUUUCAGUAACCACCCCACUCUACCCAGCUAUAAGGUUAGAAAGUCAUCUAUUUCCUUUUCUUUUCAUAAGCACGUGUAGGUUUAUUACACAAUACCAUUUACUAUAAGAAGCAAGGGUCAAAACUCAAAUUCUUUGACUAGGCAAAUAUUUCCCCUCAUGUCCAUAUUACUGGCUGAAGGUAUAUAAAAGCAUGUCCUCUUUUACCUGAUCAUGGACCUACUUACAGCUGUCUGUUGUACAUGAAUUGCAUGGACAAAUCUUGGAACAAUCUUCAAGAUCUUCAUCUUAGAACUCACAGCUCUCUGAAAGAUUUCCCUGCCUGCUUUCUACAGCUAGCGGAAAUCCAGUCACACUCAUCACUGGAGGCCUCGAGAUGUUUACGGUACUAUAAAUUGCAGAGUUUCGAGUGCUCUGCAGCAGAAGGCAGGCUUUUCUGUGCAUGGUACGCUGUCGAGUUGGGUCUUAAUUUAACACACUCUGUACACUAUGAAUACAGGAGUGACAAAUUCACGAAGUUGGGGCUAAGAAGGGGCUGCCUAUAGACACAGAGGCCUCCCUGGCACAUACUUAGAAAUUUGCCAAAAAGAUGGUGGUGGAAAAGGCAUCCUUCUAACUUCACAUCUCUAUUCAGGAGUUAAAAUGAAUAAUUAAGAGGAGCUUGUGAUUCUACACCAUCCCAGAACAAGGACGAAUGAGAGAGGGAAACAUCCUGACAAUAAUUUAAAGUGAAUCCUGGAAGUGAAUCUUUUGCUGAGAUUGUUUAUUGUUGCUAUUGUUUGUUUUUAUAAGAAAGUAAAAGACUCUAGGCAGCAAAAUCUAAGGUGGUAACUGCAGCAGUAAGAUGGUGGGGUACAGAGAGGGUCCAGUAAGGAGAAAGGAUAGGGUACGGGGGCGGGGGGAAGGUGGAAGGGCAUGAUUCCCUCGCAGUGUGGGCAUCUCUACCCUGCCCUUAGAUAAUGCUAACAAGCUACUUGCUCUUUUCCUUCCUUCCUCCAGGCAAGCCCACUCCUGAACUGCACAGUGUUACCAUUCAGCAGAGACAGAACAAAAGUAGCCGCUAAAGUAGAGAAAUCAGAAGGCACAAGGCUAAGGCUAUGUUUUGUUUCUCCAGAAAGUUGUUCCUGACUAGCUCCUGGCUGGCAAGGCUCACCAGGUCUCAGGUAAGACACCCGUCUCCCAGACUCUGUUCUACCCUCAUGGGUACUUGGCAUGUGUGUAAAGGACAGGGGGCUCAUGGCAGUGCUGACCCGCACCCACUGGAUUUCACAUAAAUGGUCCCUGGCUGACCACAGAAGCUGGGGGAUGGAAGAGAAGGAAGGGUUAAUCAGCACAGUGAACAAGUGACAGCACAUACAAAUUGCUUUUCUGCAGGGCCAGGAAGGCUGAGGCCAAGUGCUCUUGUCACACAGCCUGCAGGAUGGCCCCUCAUUUCAUGGGAACAGGUUUCUAAUGUGUGAGGUGGCCCCGCCCCUUCUUCACAAGCAGCUGUACUUGGAAGCAAAUGAUUUAGUGUUCCUGUGAGAGAGGAUCGUACAAAGAGAGAGCUCAUUAGAGGGGGCUCAGUCUGUCAGGUGCUGUUACAUAGGCUCAGAGAGUCAUCAUAAAACAACUUUCAGGCUGGUCUUGGCUGACAAUUAACUGCACGCCAUCGCCUGUGUGUCAUGGGGAGGCAAGGGCGCUGAUUUAUGCAGAGUUUAAUUACCCAGCCGCAGGACUCUGCUCCCUGGAUUUGUAUCACUCCAGCCUGCUUCAUCUCUCCCCCAUAUUUCUGACAUUUGGAUUUUCCCCCUACUAAUUGACAUGCCUAUCCCCUCCUUCUCCUGGUGUCCAUUUCUGGAACUGCUAUUUGUAUAUUGCAUGAUAUUUUAUCAGGGAAAAAUAAAACUGAGAUCCAAUUUCACGAAAAUGCUGUUGCCAUAAUGCUCAGGAGAGCAGGGGGAGGAGAGAGUCAAGUCUUCCUCAGGUCCACCUCAUGCGCAGCAGUGAACACUUUCCCAGGAGAGAGCAGAGGCUGAGAGGAAGAAAAUCUCAGAGUCCUGAGAGCCCCCAUAUUUAAGAGGAGCAGAUUUCAGAGGAGAGAAAAGGAGCCGAAGGGACCAGAUGUCUCACUGUCCUAAGUUGGGAAGACGUAGAAGAAUGACUAGAGGUGUGGAAGAAAGAAGCUAAUUGUUUCGGUAAAGCAUUGCUGUCCAGAAGACUUUUCUACCUUCCUAAAAUGUCCCAUAAUCUGAACUGUGCACUAGACUAGCAAGUGGAUGGUGUGAAUGUACCAUCCUUCAAAAUCUGAACUCAUAGGCAAGACACUGUAUUUUAGUCCUCAAACUAAUACAAGUCCUUGACUGUCCUACUGGCCGGUGCUGAGACUCCAGGGUCCUGAUGGCACAGACCCACUGCACUGAGGCCCGGCUGCUUUCUCUGGGUACCACACAGCCUGUCACUGGUCUCUUCCAGUAGGUCACAGGAGAGCCCAUUCCUCCUACAGCUAAAGGACCAGAACAAGGUCUCCUUGAGCGGAACCACAAGGCCAAAGAUAAGGGAAAAAGAUGCUCAAGUAAGGGAACCAAAUGGAUGAAGUUUCCUAUUUUAUGCCCGGAACAAAACUUGUUCUGUUUUUUCCUUUAUGUUUCCCAGGAACUGUGUUUGGAAUUGCUGUGACUUUCUUUUUUGACAAAUAAAGAGAUGAAUGACAAAUU